rnacentral:lncRNA from 1 species
CACCACUCUGGUUUCGAGCCUUAACCUGAGUAAGUGAUGCCCGAAAUAAUGUGCACGAUGAAGCUAUUUUGUCGAAUCGAGAACAUAACGACCUCACGUUUCUACGCUCAAAUUGGUUUUCAUCAACAGCUUGGUGGUUGUAGUAGCUCGCUAUUUUUGCCCAUAAGUCGUCUUUGCUCUGGUAUGUCCCUAUCUCACUAUCACUUGAAUAUUGUAUGUAUGCAUUGCAAAGAAUCUCAUCCUCGAGUAAUUUGAAUCCAAGACCCCUUUGACUCAUUUUUUCAAAAAAAUGCUCAAUUAUAUUACUGGAGGAUGAGAGUACGAUUUUUAAUGGUGAAGAACAUGACAAUUGAUCAUAUGUAUAAUAAAUAAAUUGGAUUGAUAGAACACAC